rnacentral:rRNA from 1 species
AUGAACUUAGCUUGCUAAGUUUGAUGGCGACCGGCGCACGGGUGAGUAACACGUAUCCAACCUGCCGUCUACUCUUGAACAGCCUUCUGAAAGGAAGAUUAAUACAAGAUGGCAUCAUGAGUCCGCAUGUUCACAUGAUUAAAGGUAUUCCGGUAGACGAUGGGGAUGCGUUCCAUUAGGUUGUUGGCGGGGUAACGGCCCACCAAGCCUUCGAUGGAUAGGGGUUCUGAGAGGAAGGUCCCCCACAUUGGAACUGAGACACGGUCCAAACUCC